GCCUACGGGGGGCAGCAGUGAGGAAUAUUGGUCAAUGGGCGAGAGCCUGAACCAGCCAAGUCGCGUGAAGGAUGACGGCCCUACGGGUUGUAAACUUCUUUUGUCAGGGAGCAAUUGGGUCCACGUGUGGGCUUAGCGAGAGUACCUGACUAAGAAGCCCCGGCUAACUACGUGCCAGCAGCCGCGGUAAUACGUAGGGGGCAAGCGUUAUCCGGAUUCACUGGGCGUAAAGGGAGCGCAGGCGGCACGGCAAGCCUGGUGUGAAAACCCGGGGCCCAACCCCGGGAGUGCAUUGGGAACUGCCG
rnacentral:rRNA from 1 species